rnacentral:rRNA from 1 species
UACGUAGGGGGCAAGCGUUGUUCGGAAUUACUGGGCGUAAAGCGCGCGUAGGCGGACCUGCAAGUCUGCGGUGAAAGCCCGAGGCUCAACCUCGGAACUGCCUUCGAUACUGCGGGUCUCGAGUCCGGGAGAGGUGAGUGGAAUUCCUAGUGUAGAGGUGAAAUUCGUAGAUAUUAGGGAGAACACCAGUGGCGAAGGCGGCUCACUGGCCCGGUACUGACGCUGAGGCGCGAAAGCGUGGGGAGCAAACAGG